rnacentral:tRNA from 3 species
AAGGGAUUAGGACAGGGACCUUCUAAGUCUCUAAUGUAGGUUCGAAUCCUACUGGGCCC